UAUACCACUAAGAGUAGAUCGUGAGAGCAUUUACUAUAAUAUUGAUGCCACCUUAUAGCGGGUAAUUUUGAGGGUCUCGCAGAUUAGCCAUUUUUGUAACCCUCAAAAAGUAUGGAACGCCAAAUAGGUCAAAAAUACAUCCCACUUCAUAGGGGUGUCUCACACAUCUAUCGGUUGCUUUGCACACAUCGAUCUUUACCCACUUGUACACUUUUGACAUCUAUCGACUACUUGACAUCUAUCGACUACUUGACAUCUACUGCUACGUAUACUUACAUCUAUCAACUACUUGACAUCUAUCCGAUAUGAUACUACUUGACACUAGUUGGAAUCCGCCCAACUAUACUUGACACUAUCCAUGUACAUGAUCUAGUUGGCGUGGCCCCACCCAUUGUAGCCCCACCCCACAGGGCAUGGUCCAAUGUUAGGUCAGAGUACAUGUACCUACGUACCUGUGAGAAGUAGUACAGUGCAGUGUACGUGUAGUAGUAAUCUAGUCUAGUCAUGGCUCUUCAUGUUAGCUCUGAUGAAAUGAUCGAGUUUCUAACAAUAUUGGAGAUGGUAUAAGGACUAUUCAAGUGGAAGAUGAACAAGGAACUUCCAAUGUGCACAGUCUACUUCAUCAGUGUGAAGACAUUCUCGAAGUUGUUGUUUAUGCCUCUGACUUGUUUCCAGCUGGGUGUGGAGAUGCCAUUGUUGAUGCAGUAACAGAAGUGUAUAAGUAUAUUGAAGUAAAUUGCCUAAGAGAUAGUCACAGAAGAGGGAGACCUUGUGUGAACGUGUCUGAGACUCAGUUGGAGCACCUUUUGUCGUUUGAUUUUAGAGUUAGAGAUAUUGCACACGUGCUUCAUGUAUCUGAGAGCACUGUCAAGCGAAGAAUAAUACAGUUUGGAUUUGAAAACAAAUUACAGCGCACAGACAUCUCCGAAUCUGACUUGGAUAUUAUUACUGCUGAUUUUGUUCACCAGUUUCCAAACAGUGGACAAAAUACUUAUGAUGGUUAUCUAAGAGGGAAAGGGAUAAGAAUACAACGAUAUCGAGUAAGAGAGAGCCUUUCUCGUAUUGAUGAAACAGGAGUACAAAGACGUCUGAGACGAGCCUUACACCGCAGGAGAUAUAGUGUACCUAUGCCUAAUAGCUUGUGGCACAUAGAUGGGCACCACAAAUUAAUACGCUGGAGAAUAGUAGUGCAUGGAGGCAUUGAUGGUUUUUCUCGAUUACCAAUCUAUUUAAAAGCGUCUACUAACAACAAAUCUGAGACUGUACUACAGUGUUUUUUGCACGCUGUUUCUUGUUAUGGUUUACCUGCACGUGUGCGGUGUGAUAAAGGAGGCGAAAACGUUAAAGUCUCAGAAUACAUGCUUUCAAAUCCUGAACGAGGUCCUGGUAGAGGUAGCUGUAUUGUAGGGAAAAGUGUCCACAACCAACGGAUCGAAAGAUUGUGGAGAGACGUAUUUGUUGGUUGUCUGUGUAUGUUUUACCGGUUGUUCUAUGCUCUCGAAGACAACAGUUUAUUAGAUCCUACAGAUGAAGUGGAUAUAUUUGCAUUACACUUUGUGUUUCUUCCACGUAUUCAACAACAACUAAAUGUUUUCCGCGAGAGCUAUAGCCAUCACAGAUUGAGAACUGAAGGCAAUAGGACGCCAUACCAGCUUUGGAUAGAGGGAAUGACCUCACUAACAACAGAUGGAGCAGCAUUACAAGGAGUAUUGGAUGAUUCAUCAAUUGGAGAUUAUGGAAUAGAUUGGAACGGCCUCCCUUGUAUCGAGUCCCAAGAUGGGGUUGCAGUCCCAAGCACUAAUUGCCCACUGUCUGAUGCACAGUUUAGUAUGCUUAAAGAAGAGGUGAACCCACUUGCUGUUUGUGAUGACUAUGGCAUAUUGUUGUUUGGUCGCACCAAAGACUUAGUAGCUAGAUGUCUGUCUAUUUAGAAUGAUGUAACAUAAUGAUAUUGAAAGAAUCAUGAUAAGUAUGAAAGUGAUACAGGGUGAAUAGAACACAAAAAGAGUAUAUGUUCGAAAGAAUCAUGAUAAAGUAUGAAAGUGAUACAGGGUUAAUAGGUUUUGUCAAACACAAAAAGAGUAUAUGUUCAUUUUAUUGCAGUGCUUAUAGGCAACCAAAUCCUCCAUGGUUUUUCAUACCAUAUACCAUUUUCUUUUUAAACUCCUCUGGAUUGUUAUAAUACUUGGAGGGCAGGGUUAGCUCCAACGCACAAGUGGACGACGUGGGAAACACAUUGGUAUCGUUAAAUCUCAGACCCAAAGAGUUAUCAAAUCCCAUCGGUGGAACAGACUCUGAACCAGUAGUAAAAGAAAGAAUGGUCUUAAGACUGACAGAAUCCUCCGAGUCACCUACAGUAUUAGCCUAAUGAUAACAGGCACACUGCAAUUAUAGUUCAUACCUUCAACACAUUCACAUGCAAUCGUACAGAAAAUCUACAAACAGCAUGUAAGUAGCCUCUUCUUUAGCAAGAUCAUUUGAGCCCUUAGGUGAAAAGUGGGUGAUUUUGAACAUGGCCUUCAUGGUCUCUGCAAUAAUUACAACAAAACUAAUUAUGGUUACCAGUUACACACGACACUUACCACAAAUAGAGGCCUCAUUAGUUCAGGGUACUUCACAAUUGCUUCUCCCACACCGUUCACUUGCAAUCCCUCCUUGAGCUGGUUAAUCUCUGCUAAAGACUCGAGAAGAGUGUAGUAGAGUUUUAGUGUCUUCACUAUCUCAAUUUUGUCUGCUUGCGUCGAGGUAAAAAGUGGCUUGCUGUACCCGGCAUUCACAAUGGUGUCACAUUCAUCAAGGAUACAAUCUUUUAGGUCUUUGUCAUCAGCAGCAUCAUUGAUCUGCAGGUACAGUGUUGAAUUAUACACAUAAUUAUUAUAGAUAAUAUUAUAUACCUUCUGAAUAAGGAUCCGGACGUUAGUAUUUGGUACUUCUUCAUCAGGUAUGUCAAUAUCACAGAUUUUAACACCACACAAGUAUGCGUAGAGACUACUUCCAAAAAAGGAGAAACCACUACCACCCUGAGUGAUUCCCAUGGUCAUCAAUUUUCCUACGAGAAGAAACUUCUCACCCUGUAUAAAAAAGUGUAUGUCAGCGACUACGCAUACACACUUUUACAUCAAAAUACCUGCACAGCCAAUAAAUCGUGCCGCACAACCUUACUGUUCUCAUGGCCCUCAAACAUGGACUGAGCUAUCUCUUUCCCCAACAGGCACCAAAACUCCCUGGAUGGGCCUCCACCAUCUUCUGCUUCCUCACUUACAAAGUGAACCUUAAUUAGAACAUAAUGUAGAGUGUUUAUACACCAUUAAUCCUUAUUCUAACCGUCAAUGUCUUGAUGCUUGUAAAUGCAGGCCGCCUUGCAGCUCUGAGUGCAUCUACUAACACAUGAGUGCGUCGUAUUGGGAUCUGAUGAUAUUCCUUGAACCGAUACUCAGACAGAAGCUUCAGCAUGCAAGCAAGAAAGAGAGCUGACCAUCACACUGCACACAGUACAGUCUGCUGUGCAAGAGAGACUUGUGAUGAAGGAAGAGCUCAAGAAGGCACUGGAUCGCUGUGAGGAGUUGGAGCAGAGCAGUGUGCCAAUGGGGUAGAUAUUUGAGUG